GUUCCUAUAGCUCAGUGGUAGAGCGUCCGACUGGUGCGCGGAAGGGCGUGGGUUCGACUCCUGUUGGGAGAGCU